AGGAAAUCAUGUCGCGUCUACCUGAAGAGGAGGACAGGUACCGUUAGCUUGUUAAGCUAGCAGCGGAGGCCGGAUGGAAUAUAACUGUCGUUGCAGCAAACAAGUGAAGACUGGGACAUGUGGACCAUUUUACCUCUAUGAUGGAAAACAGAAAAGCCUCUUCAAAUACCGAACGAGGAUUGAGGAGAGAUGUCUGAGGAGCAAUAAGUGAGGAUAAACAAACGGACACUGCAGCCAAUUGGACUGUUCUGAUACAUCACAUCAUACCGGAAUUUUAUACUGUAGUGAAAACAGG